rnacentral:misc_RNA from 1 species
AGUGUAAAACUCUCUUUUUUCGCGUGGAGAUAAAGAGACGUUAGCCACAACUUUGGAAGAGAAUUAGCGUCAAAUGGCCGAAUCGAACCCUAGAGAAGAAUCAGCUCUACUAGCUUCAAAAAUAUGCGAUCAGAUAAGCUCCGUCUUCUCCACAAAUUCCCCAAAUCCAGCAGCACUAGAUGUGCUGGUGCAAGAAAUCGCAGAUGCUGCUAACCGCAACGGCCGGGUAUUCGUAUACGGUGUGGGCCGUGAAGGAUUGAUGCUGAAAGCCCUAUCGAUGAGGCUUUUCCAUCUCGGUUUAUCAUCACACUGCGUCUUCGACAUGAACACUCCUCCAAUUGGUCCCUCCGACCUCCUAAUCGCUUCCGCCGGUCCAGGUGGUUUCUCCACCGUCGAUGCGAUCUCCGGAGUGGCCAAAUCUAGCGGCGCUCGUGUACUGUUGUUGACAGCUCAGCCUCAUUCGGGAUCUUCAAUGAAGUACGCGAGUGUUGUUGCUUAUAUUCCGGCUCAGACCAUGGCUGAUGAUGAUGCCGGUGACGGAGAGAAGGAACGGCCGCUGCUUCCGAUGGGGAGUGUGUAUGAAGGAGCGAUGUUUGUGCUGUUUGAGAUGGUUGUUUUCAAGUUGGGUGAAAUUUUGAAGCAGAGUCCUGAAGCUGUGAGAGCACGCCAUACAAAUCUGGAGUAAGCACAAGUUAUAAACAUACAUUUCCGUACUGUAAAUCUCCGUGCUUCAUGCUUAAUCUGUUUGAUUAUACUUACUGAAUUCAG